rnacentral:lncRNA from 1 species
ACAACCAAAUCGUAGGCAGUUAGCCUAGAAAAUGCUAAAGUUGAAACAAUAUUUUGGCAUGAACAAAGUGGCCGGAAAUUGUGCACUCCGCCGUGAUCGUUGCCGGACGAUUGUACUUUCGAUUCUCUCCUCCAAGACGAUGGAAUAUUGAACGAGUAAUUUCAACUUUAAAGUUGUCUCUCAAGGAAGGUUCUGAUUUUAGGGUUUCUGAUUUUAACAUGGACAACUAUCAGUUUUAGGUUUCCAGUUACAACUACGAUGACAUAUACAGACGGUUUAAUGUUGCUGUUCUUUUGGCCAAUCUGCAUGAGUGUUUGUUCUUUAUAAAUGAUGUUUGCAAGAUAGGGCCUGAGUGUUGAAUAUAGAAAGUUGACAUUGAUCAUCAACACUGGAGGUGCAAUGACCAUUGGACACAACAGAGAUAUGAAGUAAAUAAGCUAGUGAAAGUAAAUAUUCAUUGGAGUGAAGCUCUAGCAACUUUAGACCAUUUGCGGCCAUCGUGGUGUGGUGCUAGAUGACAGUGAAGUCUACAAAUGACGAAGAGAGAAGGGUUGUAUCAGCUAAAGACUUAACGAAUGUGCUUAAAGUAGCACUGUAAGAGGGUUGUAUCAGCUAAAGACUUAACGAAGGUGCUUAAAGUAGCAAUGCUAUAUGAUUUUAAUGUUGGGAAAUUAUCUAUGUACCCGUUAAAGAUCUUUAUGUUUUGAGUUUGCAUUUUAUUUAUUUUAGAUCAUAGUUUUAUAAUUAUUGUUUUUGUAAGGUUUUGUUGUUGCGAUUUGUUGCAUAAU